AUGGCCGAGAGUGACUGGGACACCGUGACGGUGCUGUGCAAGAAGGGCCCCACGGCCGCACAGGCCAAGUCUAAGCAGGCCAUCUUAGCAGCUCAGCGACGAGAAGAUGUGGAGACAUCCAAGAAAUGGGCUGCUGGUCAGAACAAGCAGCAUUCCAUCACUAAAAACACAGCCAAGCUAGACUGGGAGACCGAGGAGCUGCAUCACGACAGGGUGGCCCUGGAGGUGGGCAAAGUGAUCCAGCGGGGCCGGCAGAGCAAAGGCCUGACCCAGAAGGACCUGGCCACGAAAAUCAAUGAGAAGCCGCAAGUCAUCGCAGACUAUGAAAGUGGACGGGCCAUUCCGAAUAACCAGGUUUUGGGCAAAACUGAGAGAGCUAUCGGCCUCAAGCUCCGGGGCAAGGACGUCGGGAAGCCUAUCGAGAAGGGGCCGAAGGCGGAAUGA
rnacentral:lncRNA from 1 species